GACGAACGCUGGCGGCGUGCUUAACACAUGCAAGUCGAACGGAAAGGCCCUGCUUUUGUGGGGUGCUCGAGUGGCGAACGGGUGAGUAACACGUGAGUAACCUGCCCUUGACUUUGGGAUUACUUCAGGAAACUGGGGCUAAUACCGGAUAGGAGCUCCUGCUGCAUGGUGGGGGUUGGAAAGUUUCGGCGGUUGGGGAUGGACUCGCGGCUUAUCAGCUUGUUGGUGGGGUAGUGGCUUACCAAGGCUUUGACGGGUAGCCGGCCUGAGAGGGUGACCGGCCACAUUGGGACUGAGAUACGGCCCAGACUCCUACGGGAGGCAGCAGUGGGGAAUAUUGCACAAUGGGCGGAAGCCUGAUGCAGCAACGCCGCAUGCGGGAUGACGGCCUUCGGGUUGUAAACCGCUUUCGCCUGUGACGAAGCGUGAGUGACGGUAAUGGGUAAAGAAGCACCGGCUAACUACGUG
rnacentral:rRNA from 1 species